rnacentral:rRNA from 1 species
CGCAUCUGUGCAUGCAGCAUAUCAAUAAGCGGAGGAAAAGAAACUAACAAGGAUUCCCCUAGUAACGGCGAGUGAAGCGGGAAGAGCUCAAAUUUGAAAUCUUAAAGGGUUUCCCUUUACGAAUUGUAGUUUAAAGAAGUGUUUUCUGUUGAGGUUUUGGUAAAAGUUCUUUGGAAUAGGACAUCAUAGAGGGUGAGAAUCCCGUAUUUGACCUUUACUUUCAACUUUGUGAUACACUUUCAAAGAGUCGGAUUGUUUGGGAAUGCAGUCCAAAAUGGGUGGUAAAUUUCAUCUAAAGCUAAAUAUUGGCGAGAGACCGAUAGCGAACAAGUACCGUGAGGGAAAGAUGAAAAGAACUUUGAAAAGAGAGUUAAACAGUACGUGAAAUUGUCAAAAGGGAAGCGUUUGACACCAGUGUUGUUUUUCUGAAAAUCAAUUAAAGAACUGUUUAUGCUAAGCUGUUUAGACUUUAUCAGCUAACUGUUUAGUUUUGAGCUUUUCUUUAAUGCACUUUUCAGUUAACAAGUCAACAUCAAUUUCUUUUGCUGUAAAAAAGCUUGAGGAAGGUGGCUUGAGAUUCGUCUUAAGUGUUUAUAGCCUCUUGCCUAUGCAGUCGGAGAGAUUGAGGUCUGCAGCGUAGAUCCUUCGGGGCUAAAUGCAUUUGUGCUAAGUUAUAGCAUUUUAUAGACAACUUGUUGACUAUGAUUUGUCUUGUAGCUUACUCGCUUAUGUUAUUUUACCUACGCUUAGGAUGUUGACAGCAGUAUAGACUGU